GCGGACGCGUGGGGCCUGCCCUGCCCAGCCGCCCAGACCGAAGCGGUCCCGAGGGAGCACCUGUGGUGCCAUGAUGCUGCCUCUGAGCACCAUCGAGGGCCAGGAGACUGAGGAGGUGCAGACCAGGCCUCCGGAGAAAGGAGCCCUGCUUUCUGAGAACCCUGAUGAGCCUCGAAAGAAGCCCAGAGGAAUGAAGGGAAGACUGUCUUUCAAUGUCCUGCCGUUCUGUCCCAUGCCGAGCGUCUGCUUCACCUAUUACGUGGAGCCCGAUGACCCUGAGCCUGAGCCCCAGGUUCCUUCUGACGGUUCGAAAUCGGACCCGAAUUGCACCUUCGUCCCCCUGCCUGUGCUGGAGUUCCGCGAGGUCAAGGUGUGCGAGUGCCCCCUGUGCUGCCUCAGCUUCGUCACUGCUUCCUAAACGCUGAGGGCCCCCCGCUUCCCGCUCCUGACCGCGCGCCCCCGAAUCAUGCAUGCUGGGCUACCGUGAUGUGAAAUCCCCCAAUACAGCGGCUUCAAAUAAACCCAACUUGCUGUCUCUC
rnacentral:lncRNA from 1 species